rnacentral:rRNA from 1 species
UGACCCAGGAGCUUGCUCUGGGGAUUAGUGGCGAACGGGUGAGUAACACGUGAGUAACCUGCCCUUGACUCUGGGAUAAGCGUUGGAAACGACGUCUAAUACCGGAUACGAGCUUCCACCGCAUGGUGAGUUGCUGGAAAGAAUUUUGGUCAAGGAUGGACUCGCGGCCUAUCAGCUUGUUGGUGAGGUAACGGCUCACCAAGGCGACGACGGGUAGCCGGCCUGAGAGGGUGACCGGCCACACUGGGACUGAGACACGGCCCAGACUCCUACGGGAGGCAGCAGUGGGGAAUAUUGCACAAUGGGCGAAAGCCUGAUGCAGCAACGCCGCGUGAGGGACGACGGCCUUCGGGUUGUAAACCUCUUUUAGCAGGGAAGAAGCGAAAGUGACGGUACCUGCAGAAAAAGCACCGGCUAACUACGUGCCAGCAGCCGCGGUAAUACGUAGGGUGCAAGCGUUGUCCGGAAUUAUUGGGCGUAAAGAGCUCGUAGGCGGUUUGUCGCGUCUGCUGUGAAAUCCCGAGGCUCAACCUCGGGUCUGCAGUGGGUACGGGCAGACUAGAGUGCGGUAGGGGAGAUUGGAAUUCCUGGUGUAGCGGUGGAAUGCGCAGAUAUCAGGAGGAACACCGAUGGCGAAGGCAGAUCUCUGGGCCGCUACUGACGCUGAGGAGCGAAAGGGUGGGGAGCAAACAGGCUUAGAUACCCUGGUAGUCCACCCCGUAAACGUUGGGCGCUAGAUGUGGGGACCAUUCCACGGUUUCCGUGUCGUAGCUAACGCAUUAAGCGCCCCGCCUGGGGAGUACGGCCGCAAGGCUAAAACUCAAAGGAAUUGACGGGGGCCCGCACAAGCGGCGGAGCAUGCGGAUUAAUUCGAUGCAACGCGAAGAACCUUACCAAGGCUUGACAUAUACGAGAACGGGCCAGAAAUGGUCAACUCUUUGGACACUCGUAAACAGGUGGUGCAUGGUUGUCGUCAGCUCGUGUCGUGAGAUGUUGGGUUAAGUCCCGCAACGAGCGCAACCCUCGUUCUAUGUUGCCAGCACGUUAUGGUGGGAACUCAUGGGAUACUGCCGGGGUCAACUCGGAGGAAGGUGGGGACGACGUCAAAUCAUCAUGCCCCUUAUGUCUUGGGCUUCACGCAUGCUACAAUGGCCAGUACAAAGGGCUGCAAUACCGUAAGGUGGAGCGAAUCCCAAAAAGCUGGUCCCAGUUCGGAUUGAGGUCUGCAACUCGACCUCAUGAAGUCGGAGUCGCUAGUAAUCGCAGAUCAGCAACGCUGCGGUGAAUACGUUCCCGGGCCUUGUACACACCGCCCGUCAAGUCAUGAAAGUCGGUAACACCCGAAGCCAGUGGCCUAACCGCAAGGAAGGAGCUGUCUAAGGUGGGAUCGGUAAUUAGGACUAA